rnacentral:rRNA from 1 species
ACGCUCGACACCUACUGGAGGCAGCAGUCGGGAAUAUUGCGCAAUGGAGGAAACUCUGACGCAGUGACGCCGCGUGCAGGAAGAAGGUUUUCGGAUUGUAAACUGCUUUAGACAGGGAAGAAAAAGGACAGUACCUGUAGAAUAAGCUCCGGCUAACUACGUGCCAGCACGCCGGACGGUAAUCUGAGGCGGCGUGGACGAAGGC